rnacentral:rRNA from 1 species
ACGCUGGCGGCGUGCCUAACACAUGCAAGUCGAGCGAGGAGAUCCUUCGGGAUGAUCCUAGCGGCGGACGGGUGAGUAACACGUGGGCAACCUGCCUCAUAGAGAGGAAUAGCCUUCCGAAAGGGAGAUUAAUACCUCAUAACAUUGCAGUUUCGCAUGGAACAGCAAUUAAAGGAGCAAUCCGCUAUGAGAUGGGCCCGCGGCGCAUUAGCUAGUUGGUGAGGUAACGGCUCACCCAAGGCGACGAUGCGUAGCCGACCUGAGAGGGUGAUCGGCCACAUUGGGACUGAGACACGGCCCAGACUCCUACGGGAGGCAGCAGUGGGGAAUAUUGCACAAUGGGGGAAACCCUGAUGCCAGCAACGCCGCGUGAGUGAUGACGGCCUUCGGGUUGUAAAGCUCUGUCUUCAGGGACGAUAAUGACGGUACCUGAGGAGGAAGCCACGGCUAACUACGUGCCAGCCGCCGC